CUUAGUCGUGUGUACAUCAUUGGGAAUGGAGGGAAAUAAAUGACUGGAUGGUCGCUGCUUUUUAAGUUUCAAAUUGACACUCUAGGCAAGCGGUGCCUGAGCCCGUGCCUGUCUUCAGAUCUUCACAGCACAGUUCCUGGGAAGGUGGAGCCACCAGCCUCUCCCUGCCCUAGCAGAUGCUAAUCCAGCGUGCAUCCUGACAGAGGUUGAAGGGAGCUCCUCAAGUCCCAGGUCCAGCUUGGUGUGGUUCAGCUACUCGAGAGACAUCUGCUGCUAAUGGAUGAGCAGUCAGCCUGGAUGCAGGAAAUCAUUUUUUAUUUGGGGCAAAGAGGCAGCGAAAUGGAGCUCAGAGCUUUUAGAGAAUAUGGGCCAGAAACAGGAAGGAGUCAGGGCCUGAUAACAGGAACCAGCGGACAGUGAACGCAGUGGAGGGCCAUUGGAGUCAGAGCAGCUGAGAGAUUUCAGGAGAAUAACUGGGAGAUGAAACAGGAAGCUCUAUGACACACUUGAUCGAAUAUGACAGACACCGAAAAUCACGACUCAGCCCCCUCCAGCACCUCUACCUGUUGCCCGCCGAUCACAGCCAGAAUGCAGCUGAAAGAUUCCCUGGGGCCUGGUUCCAACCGCCCGCUGUGGACUCUGAGGCCUCUGCAUUUGCGGGUGGUCUGCCUGUGA
rnacentral:lncRNA from 1 species